CAGAAAUUUCCAGAAGUGAAGUGAAGGUCAGGGAAUAGAGUCAAAAUAUAAUUUAUUAAAGCCAAAUUAAAACUCCUCUACUGGCAUUUUUUUUUUAUAAUGUCAGAUGAGUACAGAACUUUCUAGAAGAAGUAAUGUCCAGGGAUCAUUAUCAGAACAUGUUUGAAGAAAGCUCUGUUUUCUGGGGUUUUCUGCAAGGGUGGAGGAUUGAGGAAAUAAUUUUCUGGAAGAAAUGAAAGAAGGCUAGUACAGAAGGUGAUUGUUUAAAAGAAAACUGAGCUAAAGUGUUUCCAUUAAUUCAUAAUUCCUGUAGAAGAGACAACUUUGCCUGAUCUUGGUAAGUAAUACAUUCUGUCUUUUUAAAGUGAUAACAAAGGGGUCAGUGAGUGUCUCUAGAGGCCAACAAAAAAGAAAAUACUUUAUAAAAAUCAAUAAAAGUGAAUGAACCAAGAACAACAAAAGGGGUUACCACAUUCAUUCUAGCAAUCCUUUACACAUUAGUGUUUGUAGAUUUUUAGUUUCUUGAAGAAAAUGUGCAUUUUUAAAAUUUUGAAGCAAGGCUUGGGAUACAAUCCUGAUAAUAUAGAGGGAAAGAGUGAGGAGAUCUCUAAAAAGUAGAGAGUCACCAACACAAAGCAGCAUGUAUUGCUGCCUUCAAAUUACAGAAAAUGGAUAUCACUGAGGGAGUCUAAAAACCAGCACAUGAACUGAAUGUUUGUUUCUUACCUAAAACUAAUACGUUGAAAUCCUAACCCUCAAGGUGAUAACAUAGGAAGUAUGUUUUAUAGCAUUUUUAUAUGAAUUGAAUCAUAGAGUAUAAACUGCUUUGCUUUUCUGGCUUUAUUCAUUACACAUGAUGAUUUUGCAUGUGAUAAUAACAUUCUUUUCUCUUACCAAAUGGUAUUUC
rnacentral:lncRNA from 1 species